UGUAGCUCAGUGGUAGAGCACUUGUCUAACAUAUGAGGCACUGAGUUUGAUUCUCAGCA
rnacentral:tRNA from 1 species